AUUGAACGCUGGCGGCAUGCUUUACACAUGCAAGUCGAACGGUAACAGGCCGCAAGGUGCUGACGAGUGGCGAACGGGUGAGUAAUGCAUCGGAACGUGCCCAGUCGUGGGGGAUAACGCAGCGAAAGCUGCGCUAAUACCGCAUACGAUCUAUGGAUGAAAGCGGGGGACCGAAAGGCCUCGCGCGAUUGGAGCGGCCGAUGUCAGAUUAGGUAGUUGGUGGGGUAAAGGCUCACCAAGCCAACGAUCUGUAGCUGGUCUGAGAGGACGACCAGCCACACUGGGACUGAGACACGGCCCAGACUCCUACGGGAGGCAGCAGUGGGGAAUUUUGGACAAUGGGCGCAAGCCUGAUCCAGCAAUGCCGCGUGCAGGAAGAAGGCCUUCGGGUUGUAAACUGCUUUUGUACGGAACGAAACGGUCCUGGUUAAUGCCUGGGGCUAAUGACGGUACCGUAAGAAUAAGCACCGGCUAACUACGUGCCAGCCGCCGCCGUAAGAC
rnacentral:rRNA from 1 species